rnacentral:rRNA from 1 species
GAUGAACGCUGGCGGCGUGCCUAAUACAUGCGAGUCGAGCGAACGGACGAGAAGCUUGCUUCUCUGAUGUUAGCGGCGGACGGGUGAGUAACACGUGGAUAACCUACCUAUAAGACUGGGAUAACUUCGGGAAACCGGAGCUAAUACCGGAUAAUAUUUUGAACCGCAUGGUUCAAAAGUGAAAGACGGUCUUGCUGUCACUUAUAGAUGGAUCCGCGCUGCAUUAGCUAGUUGGUAAGGUAACGGCUUACCAAGGCAACGAUGCAUAGCCGACCUGAGAGGGUGAUCGGCCACACUGGAACUGAGACACGGUCCAGACUCCUACGGGAGGCAGCAGUAGGGAAUCUUCCGCAAUGGGCGAAAGCCUGACGGAGCAACGCCGCGUGAGUGAUGAAGGUCUUCGGAUCGUAAAACUCUGUUAUUAGGGAAGAACAUAUGUGUAAGUAACUGUGCACAUCUUGACGGUACCUAAUCAGAAAGCCACGGCUAACUACGUGC